UAGGGAAUAUUAGAAAUGGACGAAAGUCUGAUCUAGCAACACCGCGUGUGCGAAGAGGGCCUUCGGGUCGUAAAGCACUUUUUGGAAGGAAUAGGAAGGAAUGUACUUCCAGAAUAAGUCUCGGCUAACUACGUGCCAGCAGCCGCGGUAACACGUAGGAGGCAAACGUUAUCCGGAUUUACUGGGCGUAAAGCGCGUGUAGGUGGUUCUGUAAGUAGGGCGUGAAAGCUCCUGGCUCAACUGGGAGAGGCCGUUCUAAACUGCAGAGCUAGAGGAUGGUAGAGGGAGGUGGAAUUCCGGGUGUAGCGGUGGAAUGCGCAGAUAUCCGGAGGAACACCAGUGGCGAAAGCGGCCUCCUGGACCAUUCCUGACACUCAGACGCGAAAGCUAGGGUAGCAAACG
rnacentral:rRNA from 1 species